rnacentral:rRNA from 1 species
UACGUACUGUGCGAACGUUAUUCGGAAUCACUGGGCUUAAAGGGUGCGUAGGCGGUUUUUCAAGUCAGGUGUGAAAUCUUCAGGCUCAACCUGGAAAUGGCGCUUGAAACUGAGAGACUUGAGGCAGCUAGGGGUGUGUGGAACUUCCAGUGGAGCGGUGAAAUGUGUUGAUAUUGGAAGGAACGCCGGUGGCGAAAGCGACACACUGGGGCUGAACUGACGCUGAGGCACGAAAGCCAGGGGAGCGAACGGGAUUAGAUACCCCCGUAGUCC